rnacentral:misc_RNA from 1 species
CGAGGGGUCGUGGUGGAGGCGCUGGUAAUGUGGCAACAUAUUUUCUCUGACUUUUCUCGUUCUCACUCGCUCCUCUGGGUGUAAUACUUUGUUAUUACAUUACAGAUAGUUGAGGCCAGCAGAUAAUGGAUAAAGCAUCAUGUAGGCAGCAUGAAAGGAGAAGGAAGGUAGCUGAAAAAAAAGAUACUAAGGGAAAGCCUAAACGAAGCAACAAGAAUGAAGGGAACGUUAUGCGAAAAGAAGUGCAGAGGUACAAAGACAAAGAAAAGAGUCUGCAGCAUGAGGAGGGUUCCACCGUCUCAAACAGGAGGAUGACUAUUCAUCAGGGGAUCUAUGCACAUGGCUGCAGCUCAGGAGCUGUACACAGAGAAAUUGGUUUAAGUAAAGAGACAAAAGCUCGUGCAGAAGCUAACCUAUCGCACAUUCUUGCAUUGGCCAGCAAUGCCACAUUAGAGAAACACGUCAGCAAACCCUCCGUGAGCACACGUUCUCCACGCCGCUCCUUCUUGACAAAAAAAGCUUCAAGUCAUACUCCAAAACAUACCAUUCCAUCUGAGAAAAGAAAAGAAGAGGAACAUGGUACCUUGAGACUAUCAUCUUCAGAAUCUGAUGAUAUAGAUAACAUCAUUAUUUCUCAGUCAAAGAGACACGAGAUUGAUAAGGAAUGUUAUAAAAGUGCGGACUCUACUAAUGUGACAUCCCCUACUGUGCUACCGCAAGAACAGAAGACAAAAGUAACGUACCAUCUAAGAAGUAAAAAAUGCAAAAUAGAUGUCCAGAAUAAGAAGCCGUUGGAUAAGCCAGAAACUAAAGAGAGAGAAUCUGCUCCAGAAAUUGAGAGGAGCCUGUUCAAACUGUUAACAACUGCUGUAAAGAUCAGUCUUGAGAAAAAAUCUAAAUGUUUGUCUGGAAGCAGAGAUUUGUACCUGGAAGCCCUCCAUAAAGCUCAUCGAAAAUAUGAAGAAUGCAAUAGCCCUGAGAAUAGGAUUUCACCUGCAAGCAGUGAUGCACUGCCUCUUGUGCAUAUAAUGAAGACCAGUGGUAGUGUGAACAAGGCACUGCGACAAUCAGGUGAUGGAAAUGAAAAGAGAGGUCAAGUAUUGGAUUUAAUGAAAACGCCUUCAACUUCGGAAUACUUGAAAAGGAACAAAGAAAUAGAACUAGUAAGCCAUCAUGAAGGUGAAGUGACUGAACAGGAGUCGGCCUUAAAUAUUACGGUGUGUCCUGGCACGACCAUUAUUAGUCCACGGGCUCUCUUGAGGCGGUACGAGGAGAAGUUGCAAAGAAGAUCGCCAAAACAAUUAUGUGGAAGGAUAGACUUGGCUGACAUUAGUAAUCAAAAUGAAAGUUUACACUGUUUAAAAUGUACUUCCAAUAACAGUGUUAGUGAUAUUAAAUCAAAGUCUGAAGGUGUGGUUCUUGAAAGUAAUAAAUUAAAUUUAUUAGCUGCUAGGGGAAAGGACACAUCAGAAAACAAAAUGCUAUCCUUGUCAAAAGUGAAGAAAUCAGGUUAUACGAAGAAAUCAAAAAUUGAAACGCCCCGUUCUAAAUUGGUAUGCGACUCGGAGUGCCCAACAACAGUUGUAGUGAAUGCCCUGCAUUAUUUAAAAAGGUGUGAGCAACAGUCUAAGGACCAAGAGAAGAAAGAUACUAGUACAAAUAUUAAUAAAAUCGGCACCUUACAUUGUGGAUUUACUAAAGACGGCAUUCCACAGAAUACUAAUAACACUGGUCUUCAAAUAGUAACUCUACCACAUCUUGACACCAUAUUUGACCAUACCAGGGCAAGUAAGGCAGACUGUGUUCAUAAUAAAAAUCAUUCUCUUAAACUGCAAGACUAUGGAGAAAGCCUGUUUCCCCAGUGUGAUGGGAGAAAUGUUAAAGAAAAUGGAAACAAAGCCACUUAUCCUAUUAGAAGAACAGGACCAGUGAUUUUAGAUGAACAGCCUAACUCCCCUGUCAUCAGUUGGAAAAGUGCUGGGAGAAAGAUGGAUGAAAGGGUUACAGAGGUUCCCUUUUCAUCUCUUUCUAAUUUGACAUAUGGCUUAUCGAGAAGUCCUUCACUUUCGUCAUGUGUAGCAACUAGCUCCAAUGCACCAAUUUUUUCCUUAGACUACCAGUCUUUUCCUCCAGCCUGUCACUCUGUUCCUCAAGAUCAGUCUUGUAACAAAAAGAUUCAGUUAGAUAUUAGACCAGAGCAAGUAUUUGCUCCUGCAGUGAAUGCAUAUAAUCAGCCCAGUGACAAGUUGAAGCCACAUAGUCACUUGGAUACAAAAUGUUGUAAUUUCCAUACGGGAAAUACGUUAUUAAAAAAACCAAUGAAUUCACAUUCGAUACAAAAUAUUCAACCAAAUAUUUCUUCUAAAGACAGGAUCUUUCCAGCGAGCUCCUUAGAUACUAGAGAGCCGUCGUGGCAUUCAGCAUUCCAAGAUCCUCUGUGUCCUUCCAGUCCAACUUCCUUCAGAAACCAUUCCACAAGUGGAUCAUUACAGAGAUCUAUAGCAUGUAGUGAUACAUGUUGCUCUGCCUCGGUACACAAAAGUGGCCAUGUCACUAAUCAAAACUCACGGGGUUUCUUAAUAUCACUGGAUGAGAGAGAGUGCCAACCAACCUCUAAAUAUUAUAAUAAUUUAUUAAAAGAUCUUCCUAUAGAUAGUGAUAUUGAAAGAACUCGUGGAUGUCGAGAACAAAGUGCCAUGUGGCCUCGGGUGUCAAACCAGCAUCAUGCAUCGAGUGUGUACUCUUCGGCGAUUGAUCCUCAUGGUGAGAGGUGCCGUUGUGAACGUUACUCCAGUACAAAUCCUCAGGAUGUAUUUAGAGAUUCUCAACAUAUUCAUCCAAGCCAUCAAGAUGCUAACAUUUGUGUUGGUGUGCAGGACUGGGUGGAUUCAAGUAGUAGUUUAGCAAGUCAGAUGUCACACUCCCAUCACACAGGCACCUGUGAUCUCCCGCAGGUGGCAGCAAACCCCUUACCGGCAUCUGUGCCUCACUUGGACUCUGGACUCUCUCCGGAGGACUGGAUCUACAAACACACACAUUACUGAUGCCAUCGCAGUGUGUGCUGUGGCUGAAACCAGACUUAAAAGUGAAAGUUACAAAAAAAGAAAUUUAGUUAGCUAGUGACACUGAAAAUGACCAGCCAUCAUCUGCAUCUCCAAUGAAAUGUCACUACAGAUGUAUUGCUAUCUUGUCCAGCAAUUAGAUCUCUUCACUCCUCAAAAAUGGCCAACUUUGACAAGCAGAAUAACUCCACUCAAGGUAAGUAAUAUGCCGAGUUUUGUAUAAUUCCUAAAUAAUUGGGUGUGUGAUGGUUUUUGGUGGUCCGUGAAU